rnacentral:rRNA from 1 species
UUUAUGGAGAGUUUGAUCCUGGCUCAGGAUGAACGCUGGCGGCGUGCCUAAUACAUGCAAGUCGAGCGAACGGACGAGAAGCUUGCUUCUCUGAUGUUAGCGGCGGACGGGUGAGUAACACGUGGAUAACCUACCUAUAAGACUGGGAUAACUUCGGGAAACCGUAGCUAAUACCGGAUAAUAUUUUGAACCGCAUGGUUCAAAAGUGAAAGACGGUCUUGCUGUCACUUAUAGAUGGAUCCGCGCUGCAUUAGCUAGUUGGUAAGGUAACGGCUUACCAAGGCAACGAUGCAUAGCCGACCUGAGAGGGUGAUCGGCCACACUGGAACUGAGACACGGUCCAGACUCCUACGGGAGGCAGCAGUAGGGAAUCUUCCGCAAUGGGCGAAAGCCUGACGGAGCAACGCCGCGUGAGUGAUGAAGGUCUUCGGAUCGUAAAACUCUGUUAUUAGGGAAGAACAUAUGUGUAAGUAACUGUGCACAUCUUGACGGUACCUAAUCAGAAAGCCACGGCUAACUACGUGCCAGCAGCCGCGGUAAUACGUAGGUGGCAAGCGUUAUCCGGAAUUAUUGGGCGUAAAGCGCGCGUAGGCGGUUUUUUAAGUCUGAUGUGAAAGCCCACGGCUCAACCGUGGAGGGUCAUUGGAAACUGGAAAACUUGAGUGCAGAAGAGGAAAGUGGAAUUCCAUGUGUAGCGGUGAAAUGCGCAGAGAUAUGGAGGAACACCAGUGGCGAAGGCGACUUUCUGGUCUGUAACUGACGCUGAUGUGCGAAAGCGUGGGGAUCAAACAGGAUUAGAUACCCUGGUAGUCCACGCCGUAAACGAUGAGUGCUAAGUGUUAGGGGGUUUCCGCCCCUUAGUGCUGCAGCUAACGCAUUAAGCACUCCGCCUGGGGAGUACGACCGCAAGGUUGAAACUCAAAGGAAUUGACGGGGACCCGCACAAGCGGUGGAGCAUGUGGUUUAAUUCGAAGCAACGCGAAGAACCUUACCAAAUCUUGACAUCCUUUGACAACUCUAGAGAUAGAGCCUUCCCCUUCGGGGGACAAAGUGACAGGUGGUGCAUGGUUGUCGUCAGCUCGUGUCGUGAGAUGUUGGGUUAAGUCCCGCAACGAGCGCAACCCUUAAGCUUAGUUGCCAUCAUUAAGUUGGGCACUCUAAGUUGACUGCCGGUGACAAACCGGAGGAAGGUGGGGAUGACGUCAAAAUCAUCAUGCCCCUUAUGAUUUGGGCUACACACGUGCUACAAUGGACAAUACAAAGGGCAGCGAAACCGCGAGGUCAAGCAAAUCCCAUAAAGUUGUUCUCAGUUCGGAUUGUAGUCUGCAACUCGACUACAUGAAGCUGGAAUCGCUAGUAAUCGUAGAUCAGCAUGCUACGGUGAAUACGUUCCCGGGUCUUGUACACACCGCCCGUCACACCACGAGAGUUUGUAACACCCGAAGCCGGUGGAGUAACCUUUUAGGAGCUAGCCGUCGAAGGUGGGACAAAUGAUUGGGGUGAAGUCGUAACAAGGUAGCCGUAUCGGAAGGUGCGGCUGGAUCACCUCCUUU